GGCAUCGUAGCUCAGCUGGUAGAGCGUGAGCUGUAGGUGGCGACUAUGCAUGGGUUAGAAUCUCAUCGAGGCUA
rnacentral:tRNA from 1 species